rnacentral:misc_RNA from 1 species
UCCUGGUUAACCCAGGCAGUCUCAUUAGAGUGCCCAACUUAAUGCUGGCAACUAAUGAUAGGGGUUGCGCUCGUUGCGAGACUUAACCCAACAUUUCACAACACGAGCUGACGACAGCCAUGCAGCGCCUCUCAUCCCAUUCUCCGAAGAGCACUCCCCUAUCUCUAGGGGAUUCGGGAGAGUUCAAGCCCAGGUAAGGUUCUGCGCGUUGCUUCGAAUUAAACCACAUGAUCCACCGCUUGUGCGGGCCCCCGUCAAUUCCUUUGAGUUUUAGUCUUGCGACCGUACUCCCCAGGCGGAGCACUUAAUGCGUUAGCUGCGACACGGCAGGGGUUAAUACCCACCAUAUCUAGUGCUCAUCGUUUACGGCGUGGACUAC